UAUAAUGAUAUAAGAUCAUGCAAAAAUGUUCAUAAAUGUUGUAAAAACUUACUAUGUAUGAUGUAGAUGUUUGCUGAUGAUCCAGAUUUUCACAAAUUCACAUUUUUUAAUUAAAAAAAAUGCCUUUCCCUUAGUUUGAGGGGUUCGUCACCCUGUGAGGGUCUUCCAGAUAUAGUGGUCCGUCUUGGCACAUGGAACUUCUGAAAAAUUUCUCUGAUGAGAAUCAGUUGGAAAAUAGCAUGUGUAAUAUUUUCACCAGUAUGUACAUUAUACAAAAUAUUUGAGUUUAGAACAGUGAGAUCCAAGAGUCAAUUUUACUUUUCCGCGCAAAGCUUGAAGCUCGGAUAUUAACUCCCGAGAUAAGCGAGGCAAAGUCAACAGCGUCAAAUAACCCGUCAGCAAACGACGUUUGUUAUCGUAACGAUCGGAUAACAUUCGCCAUGCGCCUGGGAAGUUAUCUGCUGUAACAGCGAAAUCAGCGAGACAUUCGAGAGCGCGACCACGAAGAAACGAAACUAAGAAGUGCAUUCUCUUUCAGCGUACGGAAACAAGCAGAACAAGGAAAAAAGUUAAAAAAAUAUAUAAAACAAAAAAUAUAACAAAAUAUAAAAGGAUAAGACAAAAAAAACAAAAAUAUAGAAAAUAUAAAAAAUUAAAUACAUAAAAUGGAACCAAUAUCUCGUCGUAUCCUCGUUGCGGUUUUGGGUUCGGCAGAGAUUAAUAGAAGCAAGAGUUUAAAUCAAUUUGCCUUUCUGUUAUGUAGCAGUGUAAUAAGAUUAACAAUUUAUCUAAUGGGAGGCUAAGUCGGUUUAUAGAGUAGCAUUGUAAAACGAUUAAUAGUUUAGGUAAUGAAAUGUUAAACGAGUUUCCUAAUUAAACACUAUUUAACCCCCCAUCCCUCCUUCCAGGUCCAUAUACACACACACCCUCUCCCCUACAAACGCACACACACACACACAUGUACAACCCUCGUUAUCCCCCUCUUUAACCGUCCUCUCCAUAUAUAAACACGUCGGAUGCAUUUUUGUUUUGUGGUAGUUCCUUUCAGCCAAUUUCAUAUUACCUACCCAAGCCCCCUCCCCCACACACAGUUGAUUACACCUUCCCUUGCACAUACAUACGUAUGUGCAAGGGAAGGUGUAAGCAAUUAUGUAUUACGAUGCUAUUUUCUAGGCGCCGGCAAACUCCCGCCAGUCCACGCGUCACGGCCCUUCACACAUACCAAAGAAACGACAGUUGUGGGCCAGAUGUGAAUAGCCGCACCAUUCACCAACGCUAAUCGCAAAAAAAAGUGUGACCGCGACGCGGGAUUCCGACGGGACCGGUAGCUCGGAGCGGUUUUAAGUCGGUAGACGAGAUGAGUUCGGCCGGAAAUUGGGAAAGCAUAAAGAAAGAUAACGAGCGGCGUUCUGCAGGUUGAGAUCACAAUUUAUCGUCGCGGGGAUCGGCACGCUUCGAAAUUCCGCGGGACGAUACAAGUUUCCUCCGCUCUUUCCCGCGAAAUCGAUACUGCUCGGCGCGACACAAUUUCUUUUCGGACAGGACACGUAAAAAAAAGCGGGACAUCGAAAAUGACAGCAGGUGGUUGAUCUUACAAAAUCAGGAACCUCCUGGCGGCGUAGUCUUUGCGGGUCGUCGGACGGUUUGCUCUCUCCUCUCGGACGCAGGUCCCGGCAGUCGGAUCGUGCUCGAUAGUCCGGGGGUGGCGACUUCGGCACAAGGUCGUAGCAUCUCUUCCCUCGGGAGCGAGAGGGUCACCCAAACUUGUUUUUUUUUCGAGAGCGGGACAUCAAAAUCUCUCCGUCGAGAGCGGAACACAAGAAGAAAUCUCUUUUUUCGUAGCAACACACGAAUCUAAUCUGCCUCUUCUCGCGACGAAAGCUGAUCUGCCUUUUCUUUUUCCGCACGAAAAACGGAAUCUCUCUUUCUUUUGUUUCCCUCUUUCGGGAGGGGUUCCUCUCUCCCCGUUCUUCGCUCUUCCGACGGGACAGGAAUCCUUCCGCGGAUCCGUAUUGUUGAUGCGCGUUACGUAUGCCCUCUCUCUCUCUCUCUCUCUCUCUCUCUUUCUCUCUCUCGGCCUCUGUCUCGCUCGUUGUUCCGCGAGCAUUGUCUUCGGGUCCGUCUAGCCGCUGUUUUUCGGCGAGCGGCCACGCGCCGUGGUCGUGCUCGACGGUAUCCCGCUUCACUCGUUCCGUCUCCUUCCGUGUUGUCAUCGUUGUUGUCACCGGCGGGAGACGACUACCACCCAGGGAGCCGUCGUGCAGGAGAUCCCGCCCAUGGUGGACGCCUCCAACCAGACGCACAAGUCAGUACAAGUCGCGCACUACAUGCAGACGCAAAAGCAAACGGAAGACUGGUGGGACCUCUGAGAGGACUUGCUGAUGCAGUCCAGGCAGCAGGCCGCCGACGAAUUCAGGGAGUGUCGCUUGCCUGCCGAGAGGACAACAAAUACGGCAGCGAUAAUCUCUUUCGGGACGGCAUAAAAUUUCCUAAUACGAAAAGAGAAACGAGAGCAAUCACCUGAUUGUGCCGUGUCUGAUGAUGAGCGACGUCCGAUGAAUUCUUCCUGCUCCUGAUGGUCGGCUCGGAAGGUCCAGGGGCACAAAACUGUGGGACGCGAGACCGUCCACCUGCACGCUCGUAACACUAACGAUUAUAUCAAUUAAGAGGGGUUUUCGGGGAGUUAAUUCGGACUUCCCAUAAAUCGCACACCAAGUUCUUACAUCCCUUCCUGCGUCGCGACCGAUGGUUUGCAUACUGGUGACGGGCGCCACCACGACUGUCACGUCACAGCUCCCCUCUCCCCGGAAAAACCUGAAAGGUCUUGUCGCGAUCCACGCCGCCGAUCGUCCACCUGCUGUACCUCCGGUCUCUCUCGCGAGUCUCGGCACGAAGUAGCCGACUAGAGUCACUGACAGAGUCCUCGAUAUUCUCGUGGGUUUGUAGGGAAAAAAGGGGGGGGGAAGGAAAGAUAAAAGCGUUUCGAGCUUACUUUGUCGCUUUAUUCAGGAUACACAAAAAAUUCCCGUAAUCACAAAAGAACCAAAAAAUUCGAAAGAGGAGAAAGGAGAAAAAAUAAGAAAAAUAGAAAAAUAAAAAAAGAUAAAAAAAAUUCCUCUCGGAAACGAUACGCGGGACCGGCCCGCGGAAGCGGUAUCUCUCGGCUGGGUGUCCCUUUACCUCUUCCUCCGGAAUUCCUCAUAGCAACGAGAACAGUCGCUAAGACAGGUCCCCGGCUCUCCGCACAGGCGGCAAAUAUUGAUAUGCCGGUUCUGCAUACACGCGGAGUACCGGUGGCCGGGACUGUCACAAUUCCAGCAGCCUCCUCCCUGCACGCGUGAUCGCAACGUUCUAGUCGUCGUCGUCCCUCGUUGCGAAGUGGUGACCUUCGAGGCUGGCGAUGCCGCGGAUCUCGGGCUGGGCAGGGCGGAUCCCGGGCUGGGCAGGGCGGAUCCCUUCCUCUCGACAGGCAACUGACGAUACUCCCUGGAUUCGUCGGCGGCCUGCUGCCUGGACUGCAUCAGCAAGUCCUCGCAGAGGUCCCACCAGCCUUCCGUUUGCGUUUGCGUCUGCAUGUGGUGCGCGACUUUUACUAAUGAGUGCGUCUGGUUGGAGGCAUCCACCAUGGGCGGGAUCUCCUGCACGACGGCUCCCUGGGUGGUAGUCAUCUCCCGCCGGUGCGUCUCCCAGAUGUCGCGAAAUCCCGUCCAGAAAUCCGGGUGGUCCUGGAUGAUCCGGAAAAUUUCCCGGUACCGGCGACGGAAGUUCUCCCACUGGCGACGGGUCUCCGACAUCGUCCUUUCUUCUCCUCGCGAUACGGUACGGUAACUCUACAAGAGAGGCAAGAGUUCCACGUAUGGUUUUAAUUCUUUUACGUGAACUUUUUCGAGCGGCUUCCCGUCCAGUCGCACGAGCUCACACACCACCGCCGACCGCACUCUAACGAUCUUAAGCGGCCCGUCGUACUUGGACGCUAGCUUGGCGGCCGUGUGAUGAGCUGCGGACGAGAGUACGUGUUGUCGCUUUCGCACCAAAUCGCCCGUUCUAUGUGUAACGGGACGCUUCCGUAAAUUGUACCGCGCGGACUGUCGUUGGUACGCCAUUUCCAGAUUUCUAGAAUCUCGUUCUCCUUCGCGAAUUGCUCGAUCUCUUUAUUCACGAACUCGGUACCGUUAUCUGUCAGCAACACCUUCGGUGUUCCCCAGCGCGAGAUUACUAAGUCGUCGAGAGCUGCCCGUAUGAGCUUUCCUUUCGCGCUCCGCAAGGGCCGGCACUGCAUCCAUUUUGAGAAUAAAUCCUGAAUCACUAAAAGAUAGGAGUAACCGGCCCGGCUGCGCGGUAAUGGGCCCAUAAUAUCGGCAACGACCACUGUCCAGGGUUUUUCGACAACUCUUCGUCCCAUCAGGCCGGCAGGGGCUUACUGGUUAGGGUACUUCUCCUAGCCUCUGUCCCCGCGCCCCCGACUCGAGCGGUCGUCCCUGCCAAUCGACGCGUCGUCUCUUCGGCGCGUGGACGCUCGCUCUCGAUACGCGUCUCUCGCCCCGACGCACGGGAAUUCGUUAUCUGCUCGGCCGUCAUGGUUGUAGACGGCUGAGACGAGCGCGGCGGCGGCCGGUAAGCGAGAUCCGGACACACGGAUCUCUAGGGAGGCGGCAAUGCGCGAUAUUGGCUCGCGGACGCGUAACUUCUUUCGACACGAGUGGCGAACCUCUCCAACGCGUCAAAGUUUUCGAAGUCGUCACGGUGCACGGCGAUCUGUAACUUCGGGAGCAUAUGUCGGUGCGCGUAAUUUAAUUGCUCGACCUCACUCCACGGAGGGUCGAGCUGGCUGAAUAGCCUGAGAAUACGAAACACGAAAAACGAGAAGCUGCGCGAGACGUAUCUUCGCUAAAAAAAAACCGUAACGUCUCGAUAUUCGCUGCGUUCUCGGUUCCCUUUGUUCUUAAAAUUUUUCUCUUUUCCAGCGGGAUAGCGGAAAUUGACUAUCAUAUACUCGAUGCCUCCGACACCCUCUCGAGCAGCUCGGAGCUGCCCUCCCAAUGGGGGAUCCACCGCAUCAUGCUUCUGCCGUUCGCCCGUCGUCACAAACUAUCGAGUCGGUCGACUCGGUCCAGAACUGCCGCUGGCCGCCCUUCUGGAAAAGCAACCCAGAGCUCUGGUUCCUGCAGGUCGAGGCCGUGUACCAGGCCUUACGAGUUCGUAGAGAUGAAACCAAAUACAGCCUCGCUGUCUCACUGCUCGACCCCGACACGCUGCAGGAAUUGUCCGACGUCAUCAGGUCACCGCCUUCCGACGGGAAAUAUGAUCAUUUAAAGGCCACGAUCCUGAGCCGUUUCUCGGACUCGACGGAUCGCCAAUUGCUCCGCCUUCUCACUCAGCUUGAACUAGGCGACCGGAAGCCUUCACAGCUCCUGCGCCAAAUGCGCACGUUGGCCGGUAGCAGAGUCUCUGACGACGUUGUGCGGGUCAAAUGAUUGGACCUUCUACCUGUCGGAAUGCAGCGCAUCCUUAAGGUCCUCAAAUCGCACGACCUGGAAGAACUGGCUGCCGCCGCAGAUGAGCUAUUGGGAAGCGGGCUUGGUUUCUUAAUUACAGAAACACACGCCUCACCAAAUGUUUGCGCUUCGUGCUCGUCACCUCGAGCACCGCGGUCGCCGCCUCAACCUGACGUCGCCGCUGAGCUGUCGGCCAUCCGACAGGCGCUUGCACAGCUCACUUCAUCCCAACAUGACGUACUUCUCCGGCUGGACACAAUGAUUUCUCACGAGGCCUCACGUUCCUCGUCGCGAGGGCGUCCCGAGCCGCGCGCUCGGUCGCCGUCCGUAGGACAGCGGCCAGGGUGGUGCUACCAUCACCGUCGCUGGGGAACUGAUGCCCAGCGCUGUAUUAUGCCGUGUACCUUCCGUGGUGCAGCCUCGUCGCCGAGAAACUAGUCGCGCUCGCGCCGGACCAGCCGCCGAGCGCGGAGCGCCCUUUCCGGAGAAUCGGCUGCACGUCUUCGAGAGAGUGACCAGUUUCAAGUUUCUGAUGGACUCCGGCUCCGUCGUCUCCUUGCUGCCAAAAACGUGAGUCAAAGGCCGACUCGCUCUUUAGAAGCUUACGCUGCUUGCUGCUAAUGCCUCACCGAUCGCUACAUACGGAACCCACACCAUGGUUCUCAAUUUAUCGCUGCGCCGCGAUUUCGAGUGGCGUUUCAUCGUCGCCGACGUCAAGACCGCAAUCCUGGGAGCCGACUUUUUGGCGAACUUCGGUCGCCUGGUCGACGUCGGCGGCCGACGCCUCCUCGACUUCGUCCUCGGCCUCCUCUCCAGACGCCCUGACCUGCAGCGGCUCCCGCCGCCUUCUCCGUCGGCGCUCCUGAUCUGCGGCUAUCCGUUGCCUCCUCUCCAGAAUGCCCGGAUUUGCAGCAGCUCUCUCCGUCGGAGCUCCUGACCUGUGGCUGUCCGCCGCCUCCUUCCCUUCCUCCGGACCUGCAGCGACUCCCACCGCCUUCUUUGCCGGCGCUCCUGACUUGCGGCUUUCCGCCGCCUUCUUUCUGACGCUCGAAUCUUCAGCAAGAAGACAACGAGAGUUUGUUGAAAAACAACAGCAGCUGAGUCUGUCACAAGCCAUCGCCACGAGCAGACGUGAUCUAGAUGUUUCUUUUUAAUACUAUUAAGACGAGAGGAUAUUAGUGAGUCUGUACUCACUUAUCACAUAUUGGAAGUAAGGCCGGUGCUAGCAGCGCAUCAUGUGACUCCCAGGGCUUUCAGGCUCAAGAACUUUGACACGUGGUCCCACGUGUUCAAGAGGAUUGACCAGCUAUAGCCUGAACUCGCUGCGGCAGGGGCUGAUAUCCCCGCUGGGACACUUCAAAUCCGAGGUAGAUGACUCGAUCUCGACCGAAGACGCACUUGUCCGAGCUGCUCGAGAGGGUGUCGGUAAUCAGCGUUAGCGGUGCUGAGUGCUGCAGAAAGGCGGGUGCGACGGCAGCGACGAUGCUGCCUCGAUGUAAGCCUCGAAUGCUCUCUUCCAUUCUUCCGUCCACGGCACCUCGGAUUUGUCUUUUUUCUUAGCCACCUUGAAGAACUCGUGAAGGGGUGCUUGGAGUUGCGCAGCUCUCGGUAUGCAACGCCGAUAGAAGUUAAGCAUCCCGAGAAAUCUACGGAGGUCGGCUACCGUCCGAGGUAGCUGGAAUUCAUGGAUAGCUGGAAUUCAUGGACGCUCGCAGGCCUCUGGAACCACCCUACACAGGGCCCCACGAGGUCGUGAGGAGAGUCAACGAGCGCACCUUCAUCAUCCGGAUCAACGACGGCGAGAGAACAGUAUCAACGGACUGCCUCAAGCCGGCUUUCAUUGCCUAGGCGGACGAGGCUCGAGACCGGGAACAACCCAAGAGAGUUUCGUUCCUUUCGUCCCCGCGAGGAACUAGGGAGGGAGUGGAUGUGGCGGGCCUUUCCCGCCAUCUGUUGCAUAGCCAGGUGACCCGCAGCCAAGCCGUCGGAAGCAGACGUUUCAGCCGAGAGCGCUCUUCUAAUUCCGUUUUGUUUUUGUUCGCGACCAUGUGCCGAGCACGCACGUGUCAGAAGUCGACAUCGAGACACGGCACCGGACAGACCUCGUGUGAGUUCUACGCGUCGUGACUCUCGCUUCUUUUUGCGUAUUCGCCGGAUCUUUGAGUGCGGAGAAGUGCGCGGCUACACGCGUCUAUGACGCCGUCGAGCAGUGCCGUCGCCGCAUCCGAGACCGAACAGACGUCGCCGUGUGCCGGUCCUUCGGCCCCUGCGAGCCGCUACUCACGAGCUGCCCUGCUGCCCUUGUUCAAGGAGUCGGGGGCACGAGGAAGCCUACUUCGAGCGUCGCACCGUUGCGCGACGGCAGCGUGCCCCAGCGAGGAGUGGUAAUAAAGACUCAUUUUGGUGAAUCGCUCGUUGAUUGUGUCCCUACGCGGGGCCGUGCCCAGCUCGACUUACACGCGCCAAGGGCACGAGUGUCGUGUUCCCUAUCCUAUCUCCCUUGUGGGGAAAGGGCCGCUGCCUGGGAGAAGUGGUGACCCCUACAUGUUAUAAUAAAUAAGUACAGCGAUAAAUGUAAUGAUAAGUUAAGAAAGAGCUGUGAUAAUAAGUGUGCAACGGCGACGCGCAGCGUAGUGUAGCGACGGCAACAACGCGCGAGAAAAACAAACGAGAAUCACGACGGCAGCAGGCGUCAAAACAGAGAUGCGUAUGCGACAAUAUGCGAGUUAGUUCUUCGACGAGCGGGCAGAAACAAAGAGUUGGAAGAGUCGAGUCAAGCGAGUCAACCGAUAUAGAGUAGC
rnacentral:lncRNA from 1 species